CGGAAGGCGGAGAGCAUGUGUCCGUAGAGAUAGUGGGAGCGAGCUGAGAGAGAGAGAAAGGCAUUUGCACGGUUACUCCACCAGUCAUCAACCCAAGGAAAGAAGAACUCAUGAACUUCAAUGAACCAGCAGUGACCACCAAAUCUUCAAGGUCCCCAGUUCACAGCCAGGUACUCACAUCAUCCAGCUUCCGGUCUGUGCCCAAAGCCAACAGGUUGUUGAACUCUCUCUCCAAAACUUGGCGUGCCUAGAGUCCACAAGGUGAAACCUCUGAAGCCUGGGAAGGUGAAGGGAUUUUACCAACACUGCAUGGGUGAUCAGCUCCUGGGGAUAGCUAUAGGAAAAGUGAAACCACCUGUGAAAGCCUUAUGGCUCAGUGAUGAUUAAUUCCCAGACUUAGCCACCUGAGAAACAUCAGAAUGUAACAUCCAUUAUGUCCUCCAAAGUAACAGGGACCAUGGGUUCUGCCAAGAUGUGGACUCCCAUUACCCCAGCUCCCCAUCACAGGACUGCCACCUUUGCUCUAUGGCUGAAACAGCGUAACAGGAAGACAUGAGGAGCAACACCUCUCCAUUCCUAGAGAAACGGAACUCCUUGAAGGAAUGACUACUGCUCUGAUACCUACUACGAAGCCUUGCUUACUAUAGUAGUUAAUAAAUAUCUGUUGAGCAAAUAACUGAAUAGAUGAGGGCAAUGAAAGGAGGAAGGGAGGGAAAGGAAGAAAGGAAAGAAGGAACAGUGGAAGGGACAGGAAGACAGCUAACACUUACUGUGUACCUACUACAUGCCAAGCACACACUGGAACUUUAUAUUAUCAUAGAGGUGUUAAUAAUGCUACCCUUGCCCAAGUACUUACUUGACUACAGUGUCUACAAAGUUAUGAUUAGGCAUUAUGAUAUUUUGAGUCUUGGAGGCAAGAUAUACUAGGAAUUAACAAGUGACUCUCCUAGGGAAAAAAAAAUCCAAGAAAUUUCUCCUGAAGGUCCUGAGCACAGUACACUAGAAAACCUCCAAACUGGAAGAAACCUCAGAGGCCCAACCUCACACUUGAUACAGGAAGCCCUUCUGUGGUACACCAAAUAAACAGCCAUCCAUCUGAUGCCUGGCACUUCUCAUGGCAGGAACUACCACCUCAUGAAGCAGCCCUUCUAGCCGUGAAACAGCUCUGACAGAAAACUGCUUCUCUUGAGUGGAAUCUCGGUGUCUGUGGCUUCUGCCCCCUGGUCCCUGGCAGAGAAGUCUGGAUCCAAGGACACCCUCCUGCUUCUCCCCU